UGGCCAAGAUCCGAACACUAUCAGGUGGAUGACUAGGCUCCAGCGCUGAAGAAGGACGUGGCUAACUGCGAAAAGCUCCGGGAAGGUGUACGCAACCAGUGAUCCGGAGGUUUCCGAAUGCGACUUCAGCUAAUUUGAAAGGAUUAAGUCCUAACGGACAAGGAACGCAGGGAGCUGAAACAUCUCCGUACCUGCAGGAAGAGAAAUCAAUUGAGAUGUCGUUAGUAACGGCGAGUGAACACGACACAGGGCAAGCCGAAUGCGGUGUAGUAAUACAUUGCAGAUGUGGUGCCUUUCCAACGCCGACCUUGGAAAUCCGAAGUCUCCUGGAAUGGAGCACGAUACAGGGUGAUAGUCCCGUAGGAGUAACCGAGAGGCUAUGAGAUUGGCAAAAGAGUACUGUCGCCUGGAUACGCGGCAGGAACGUGGGGGGCAUCAACCUCCAACCCUAAAUACGUCUGGAGACCGAUAGCGUACUAGUACCGUGAGGGAAAGUUGAAAAGAACCCGUGACAGGGUGUGAAAAGAACCUGAAACCUGAUAGUUAUAGAAUAGCGCGGCUUAACGUCGCGCUGUGCGUUUUGAAAAACGCGCCAGGGAGUAUAUCUAUGUGGCAAGGCUAACUUAUAGCAAGGGAGCCGAAGGGAAACCGACAAGCCCGCAAGCAAUGAGGGGCGGCGUGUGAAAGUGCGUGGAGUCACAUGGAUAUGACCAGAAACCGGUCGAUCUAUUCCUGGGUAAGGUGAAGUGGGGGUGAAACCCUGUGGAAGCCUGAAGCGGUGCUGUGGACAAGCGUUCGUGUAACUUAGGAAUAGGGGUGAAAAGCCAAUCGAGACCGGUGAUAGCUGGUUCCUACCGAAAUUGGCCUUAGUCAAGCCUCGCGUGAGAUAGAUAGUCCCGUAGAGCCACGGAUUUGGAAUUUUGGGCCCGAAAGGGCUCGGUUCCUUGUCCAACUCCGAAUGGAUUAUCAUCGUAGACCGCGGGAGACGGGUCGUCAGGGGUAAGCUCGACGACCGAGAGGGGAACAACCCAGACUAUGGUUAAGGUCCCAAAGUCACAGUUAAGUGUGAAAGGCGAAAGGGUGUGUACACUCACAGACAACGGGGAGGUUGGCUUAGAAGCAGCCAUCCUUUAAAAAGUGCGUAAUAGCUCACCCGUCAAGAGUGUGUGCCCCGAAAAUGGACGGGGCUACACUGUGCACCGACACCAUAGACUUCGAAAGAAGUGGUAGGUAGGCGUUUUGUUUGGAUAGAAGCGUGUCUGUGAAGAGACGUGGACUAAGCAAGGAUGAAGAUCCUGGCGGUAGUAGGAUCUUAGAAGAGUGAGAAUCUCUUCCAAUGAAAGGGCAAGGGUUCCUUGGCAACGCAGAUCAGCCAAGGGUUAGUCGAUCCUAAUGUCGCUCCUAGACGGAGCAUGACAGAAAGGGAAAUAGGUUAAUAUUCCUAUACUGCCUUAUUAUAUGUGGUAACACAGACCUUAUAGUUGACGCUUUUGGCUAGGCGGACGAGAACUGUCGUUUUCGUUAACUGGCAUAAGUGCAGGGAGUAUUGUUAUGAUGAGAACUGCAUUAAAGCUAGGAACAGCGCUCCUUUGGAGCGUUCCGCUGAUGCCCGGAGCCCGUGAAAAAACUAUAAGGAUAGAUAUAAGGUAUUCGUACCCAGAACCAGCACUGGUGCCCCUGGGCGAGAAGCCCAAAUUGUGAAGGUGACAAUCUAGUUAAGGGAACUCGGCAAAUUGGCUCCGUGACUUCGGUUUAAGGAGUGCCUGCUCUUGUUUACGCGAGAGCAGGUCGCAGUGGCCAAGAUGACCCGACUGUUUACCAAAAACGUAACCAGCUGCUAACCCGUAAGGGCUCGUACAGCCGGUGACGUCUGCCCAGUGACGGUAUCCAAACCUCCUUUUCAAGGGAGUUAAGGACCGUUAAACGGCGGGAGUAACUAUAACUCUCUUAAGGUAGCGUAAUGCCUUGUCGUUUGAAUGGCGACGUGCAUGAAGGGCGUAACGAGGUCGUCACUGUCCCUAACUAGCCUCCUCUGAACACACCAUUCUGGUGCAAAGGCCAGAGACUUCCUGUGGGAAGCGAAGACCCCGUGGAACUUUACUGUAGCUUGUAGCUGUGUCGCGUGUUUUGUUGCAUAGUGUAUGUGGGAGCUGCUAAGCGUGUUUUUUCGGAAACACGAUAGGCGCCAAUGUAACACCACACUUCGAGUCGUGCGACACUUACCAUGAAAAUGGGACAACUGCUGGCGGGCAGUUCGGCUGGGGUGGCACCCUGCUGAAAAGAUAUCAGUAGGGCCCCAUGGUUGGCUCAGUCGGGUCAGAAAUCCGACGUAGAGUGCAAAGGCAAAAGCCAGCCUGACAGGAUCCAUAACACGAUUGGAUCCUGCAUCGAAAGAUAGGCUUAGCGAACCUCCGUGUCCUCCUUGAUGGGGGCCGGAGACGACCGAAAAGUUACCCCGGGGGUAAUAGAGUUGUCGCGCCCGAGAGUUCGAAUCGACGGCGCGGCUUGCUACUUCGCUGUCGGCUCUCCCUAUCCUGGCUGCGCAGCAGCAGCCAAGGGUGAGGGAGUUCACCUGUUAAAAGGGAUCGUUAGCUGGGUUCACAUCGCUGUGAGGCAGAUGGUUUGAUAUCUACAGGAAGUGUGAGGAAGUCUGAAUGGAAGGAUCCUUUAGUACGAGAGGAACAAGGAUUCGUAGCCACUGGUCUACCGGUUGUCUGACAAGGCAUUAAGCCGGGCAGCUACGCUAUACGGGAUAAGUUCUGAAAGCAUCUAAGAACGAAGCCCUCCGUGAAAAGAGACUUCCUAGAGCAUGGGUAGAAGACCCGCUUAAUGGAGGUGGUGUAUAAGCAUCAAGGUAACGAGAUGUUCAGCACGCACCCCCCAACGCUCGUAUCUCUUGACCA
rnacentral:rRNA from 1 species